CUGGUAGUAGGUGGGUGUAAUUGAAUAGGAAUAAUUGAUGUGCUGAUUCUUUUGUUUUGUAUACAUUACUGUUAUUUAGCAGACGCUUUUAUCCAAAGCGACGUACAAAAGUGCAUAUCAAGAUCAUUGAAACAACUACCUUAUGUAGUUGUUUCAAGAUCAUGGAAACAACUUCAUAAGGCACAGUAUGUAUAUACAUUUUGUAUGAUAGUUGAAGGCAAUUUUGUAAAUGAAACGCCCCGCUUGGGUCACACAAGUUCGAGAAUCAUUUCCAAAGUUCGCUGUAAGAUCCACCGACCGACCAUCCUUGUAACAGAGAUGGCGACCAACAAAUUACGACCCAGGAGGCGCUAGACACGUGUUUGGAGAGGAGCAGCGGCCCCAUGCAGACUGACUGGCAUGGCUUCGUCAUUUGGAACCCUCCUCAAUCACACAGGAUAACGGCAGUGCCCAGCCCGAUACGCUUCCCCAGAUAUUCCAUCGGGGCUGGCUUGCCGCAGGUUAACGACCCUCUCAGCCCAUCGUCAGCACUCUCACCAACAUAAAGCCUUGAUGGAAAUAACUUGCAGCCUAUCGAUAAAAAGGAAGAGUGGGCAACUCAGAACCAUGAAGGCCAAAUUAACUCUCAACCCCUCCCCCAUUUUUUUUUUUUUUUUUUUUAACAUCAUCACUGCUGCAUUCCGUGUUGGAUGAACAGUGAAACCACCUGUGAACACAAAUCUAAAACAACUGCUGAUUUAAAACCUGCAAUAAAACUGAACCGCCUGCA